CCUCCCUCCCUCUAUCUCUCAGGCGACAAACAUUUGGGCCCCCUGUUGUGUACAAAGACGCGGUGGGCCAUCACCAUCCAUCACGGAAGACAUAUUGACAAGGCCUUCACCAGUGAUCAGGCUUUAAGCGGACCAUGCCGCAGCAGCCUCACCUCCCUAACAUGAGGCUACGCUACUCCACGGGUAAUGUGGCUGACAUGAGGCUACGCUACUCCACGGCUAACGUGGCUAACAUGAGGCUACGCUACUCCACGGCUAACGUGGCUAACAUGAGGCUACACUACUCCACGGCUAACGUGGCUAACAUGUCCAUCUCCACAAAACAGCCACAGAACAACAUGAAAUCCACCGGACCAUAGGAAGCCUUGACAGGGUAGAAGGAAAGGAAGACUAUUGAGUUCUUUAGAUACAGCAUCAUGGGAGUGGACAUUUAUAUAGCCAUACAUAGACAAAUAUAUAUUUUAACAUCAUUACGUGUAACGUCAUAUAGGUGUUGUUUGAUUGUUGUAUUCUGUGGGUUCAUGCUGUACAUGGAAGACGUGGAUAAACACAUACAUCCUCCCCCAGAGUUUUCAGGUUUGGGGGUUGCAAUGCCAACCCUCUUGCGGCUAUUGCAGUAGUCAUUAAAUAUAUUGCUCAGUUAGUGAGAAUAACACUAGCAUAUAAUUAUAUGUAUCUCUAGUCUACUGAAGGUUCUUUGUCUAUGGGCGCCUCAUUUACAAGCCAGGCCCUAAUAUAGGCAAUCAGCAGCGCUAUCCUCUCACUGGGGGUCCUUAAACAGUUGAUUUCACAGCAGCGCCUUUGAUAAACGAGGGAGGUGGCCUGCCCAGCAUGUUAAUGGGCCAUCCCAUAAAGCUUAUCUCUGACUGGGGUCACCCAGGCCAAGUAGCAGGGGGCAGAUUGCCACGGCAAUAAGACUCCGGCAAGCAUCGCCGAGGCUUUGACGACCCCUUUGACGAUUCCACCACAGCCAACACCACAGCCCACCCCCUUGGACAAUCAAAACCUCACCAUGGAAGCCCUCAUGGGGAAUAAGGAAGACGUUUACUACAGUGAAAUUGAAAUGAGGGGGAAGAGCAAAUUAACUUGGGCGGGCGAGAGGAGGUGGGGCUUAUUGAAACAGGCUUUAAACCAGCUUUACACCAGGAGCUGUAAAUGUUUAAUUGUCCUCUAAUGGCAAUACUUUUAAAACAGAUUGGGUAAAAAAUCAUCACUGCUUGACCUCGAGAUUAGGAGGGACAUAACCACAGCAAAAUAUUACCCCUAAAACUAAAUAGAGGCCAAUCUAAAAGAAAAAUGUUUUAUUGUGAAUAUUGGUGUAUUGAACUUCAUAGUAUGUAGCCAAUUGGUAAUAAAGAUUUUAUCACAAUUAUUUAUUUGUGGGAAUUUAAUGAUACAUGUUGAUUGAGUUGGGGGGGCACUCUGUUUUAGGAAACCCUGUGAAAGCGUAUGGUUGUCCCGCCAUGUUGCUCUAACUCUCUGUAUGCUGGGGGGCAUGAAAAGGGGUAGGGGUGAAGAGGAUGGUUUUUGGGAGAAUGUUCUGGACCCUGACAAGGUUUCACUGCUUUAAUACAGAGGGAUUACACCCAUCUCUCAGUGGGGGACACCCUAUGCCAACCC
rnacentral:lncRNA from 1 species